rnacentral:pre_miRNA from 1 species
CUCGAGAGGGGUGUCCCUCAGCCUGGAUUGCAAGAGGGUGCAGGCCAGGCUGAGGGACCUCACCAGUGCAUG